rnacentral:lncRNA from 1 species
UACAAUAAUAACUAAUUUUUUAUUGCCUCUAGGGCAUAUUUCCAACAAGUAUGUCUAGAGGGGGGGGGCGAUUAGAGUACUUGACAAGAUAAAAACUUAGCCUUUUCCUAGUUUUAGUUGAGGGCCAGUUGUAAUGCCCAAGAUGCGAUCGUAUCCUUAUUUUGGCACGAGGGCCACGACAGGGAUAGAAACACAUCUCGUCGUUUUCGCAAGAAUGGAUAUCAUUACAAGUACAUGUACUGAAAAGAUGAGUAUAAGGAGUUGGCUUAGACUCGCCAGAAGAUCCAUCAAUAUCACAUCAAUACAUCAAUAUAAAAUCAUCAUGAAGAGGAGUAGGGUCCGACUACUCACGAAAACAAACGAUAAAAGAACGACAUCCAUCCUUGCUAUCCGAGGCUACCGUCCUGGAGGCCAUCCU